GUGAGGAAUAUUGGUCAAUGGGCGCAAGCCUGAACCAGCCAUGCCGCGUGCAGGAAGACGGUCCUAUGGAUUGUAAACUGCUUUUAUUUGGGAAUAAACUCCGGUACGUGUACCGGCCUGAAGGUACCAAAUGAAUAAGCACCGGCUAACUCCGUGCCAGCAGCCGCGGUAAUACGGAGGGUGCAAGCGUUAUCCGGAAUCAUUGGGUUUAAAGGGUCCGCAGGCGGUCUUAUAAGUCAGUGGUGAAAGCCUACAGCUCAACUGUAGAACUGCCAUUGGUACUGUAGGACUUGAAUUCGAUCGAAGUGGGCGGAAUGUGACAUGUAGCGGUGAAAUGCUUAGAUAUGUCACAGAACACCGAUAGCGAAGGCAGCUCACUAGGUCUGGAUUGACGCUCAGGGACGAAAGCGUGGGGAGCAAACAGGAUUAGAAACCCGGGUAGUCC
rnacentral:rRNA from 1 species